GGUUCUAGCUCAGUGGUAGAGCACUUGCCUAGCAUGUGUGAGGCAUUGGGUUCAAUCCUCAGCACCA
rnacentral:tRNA from 1 species